rnacentral:rRNA from 1 species
UUAGAACGUCGUGAGACAGUUCGGUCCCUAUCUGCCGUGGGCGCUGGAGAAUUGAGGGGGCUGCUCCUAGUACGAGAGGACCGGAGUGGACGCAUCACUGGUGUUCGGGUUGUCAUGCCAAUGGCAUUGCCCGGUAGCUAAAUGCGGAAGAGAUAAGUGCUGAAAGCAUCUAAGCACGAAACUUGCCCCGAGAUGAGUUCUCCCUGAGACUUUAAGUCUCCUGAAGGAACGUUAAAGACGAUGACGUUGAUAGGUCGGGUGUGUAAG